AACGAACGCUGGCGGCAGGCUUAACACAUGCAAGUCGAACGGGUGCAGCAAUGCAUCAGUGGCAGACGGGUGAGUAACACGUGGGAACCUUCCUAGGGGUACGGAACAACUCAGGGAAACUUGAGCUAAUACCGUAUACGUCCGUAAGGAGAAAGAUUCAUCGCCCCUAGACGGGCCCGCGUCGGAUUAGGUAGUUGGUGGGGUAACGGCCUACCAAGCCUACGAUCCGUAGCUGAUCUGAGAGGAUGAUCAGCCACACUGGGACUGAGACACGGCCCAGACUCCUACGGGAGGCAGCAGUGGGGAAUCUUGGACAAUGGGCGCAAGCCUGAUCCAGCCAUGCCGCGUGAGUGAAGAAGGCCUUAGGGUUGUAAAGCUCUUUUACCUAGGGACGA
rnacentral:rRNA from 1 species